rnacentral:ncRNA from 1 species
UAAAAGACUUGGAACAGGAGAGUAAGUAAAGAGAACCUGACAGAGAAAAACUACCAUUGGCUGAGAGUAGUUUAAGGCGAUACUUUUACUGAAGUGCACCUGGGAGUUGCUGCCCGAAAGAUCAGUAGGCGCAGCCGGUAGGCACCGUUAUAUGCUUUUGAGCUGAGGCAAUAGCCUAAGCAGAGUGGAACCGCGAAGUACCUUCGUCUCUGUA